GGGGCUGUAGCUUAGUUGGUAGAGUGUUUGCCUCAUAUGCACAAGGCCCUGGGUUCUAUCCCCAGCACACACA
rnacentral:tRNA from 1 species